AAUGAUUUAUCCAGGCUAUGUCUACAGUUUUUCGCAGUGGUACGGGGAUUCAUCACGGAAUUGGAGUACACAACGCUUCGAGUGAUAGCCGGAAAUAUCCUCAGGAGCAUGGUGGCAUCCUCGACACUUCUCUAACCCCCCGGCGGAUGGUGUAGUGGUAGGAGCUGUGGAUAUUUCAUGGAAUGGGCGUUCUCCGUCGGUAUCAAACGAUGAUUUUCAGCAAUAUGGAUGAUGAAUGCUUACAGAAUACAAUAUGUAUGGACGUAUAACCUUUAUAAAGAAGUGCAAAAACAUGUAUGAAUGAGUGUGAUUGAUAUUGCUGUUAAAAGUAUCUUGAA
rnacentral:lncRNA from 1 species